UACGAAGGGGGCUAGCGUUGUUCGGAAUUACUGGGCGUAAAGCGCACGUAGGCGGAUAUUUAAGUCAGGGGUGAAAUCCCAAGGCUCAACCUUGGAACUGCCUUUGAUACUGGAUAUCUUGAGUCCGGGAGAGGUGAGUGGAAUUGCGAGUGUAGAGGUGAAAUUCGUAGAUAUUCGCAAGAACACCAGUGGCGAAGGCGGCUCACUGGCCCGGUACUGACGCUGAGGUGCGAAAGCGUGGGGAGCAAACAGG
rnacentral:rRNA from 1 species